UACGUAGGGGGGCUAGCGUUGUCCGGAUUUAUUGGGCGUAAAGAGCGUGUAGGCGGUUUGGUAGGUCCGCUGUGAAAACUCGAGGCUCAACCUCGAGACGCCGGUGGAAACCAUCAGGCUAGAGUCCGGAAGAGGAGAGUGGAAUUCCUGGUGUAGCGGUGAAAUGCGCAGAUAUCAGGAAGAACACCCGUGGCUAAGGCGGCUCUCUAGUACGGUACUGACGCUGAGACGCGAAAGCGUGGGGAGCAAACGGG
rnacentral:rRNA from 1 species